UACGAAGGGGGCUAGCGUUGUUCGGAGUUACUGGGCGUAAAGAGUGCGUAGGCGGUCCUCUAAGUUCGGUGUGAAAUCUCCCGGCUCAACUGGGAGGAUGCGCCGAAGACUGGAGGGCUUGAGUGUGGGAGAGGUAAGCGGAAUUCCUGGUGUAGCGGUGAAAUGCGUUGAUAUCAGGAGGAACACCUGCGGUGUAGACGGCUUACUGGACCAUAACUGACGCUGAGGCACGAAAGCGUGGGUAGCAAACAGG
rnacentral:rRNA from 1 species